rnacentral:lncRNA from 1 species
GGCGCAAGGUUGGUCUGCAGGUGGCCUCCAGGUGCAAAGUGGGAAGUGUGAGUCCUCAGUCUUGGGCUAUUCGGCCACGUGCCUGCCGGACAUGGGACGCUGGAGGGUCAGCAGCGUGGAGUCCUGGCCUUUUGCGUCCACGGGUGGGAAAUUGGCCAUUGCCACGGCGGGAACUGGGACUCAGGCUGCCCCCCGGCCGUUUCUCAUCCGUCCACCGGACUCGUGGGCGCUCGCACUGGCGCUGAUGUAGUUUCCUGACCUCUGACCCGUAUUGUCUCCAGAUUAAAGGUACGACAUUUGGAGGCCCCAGCGAGAAACGUCACCGGGAGAAACGUCACCGGGCGAGAGCCGGGCCCGCUGUGUGCUCCCCCGGAAGGACAGCCAGCUUGUAGGGGGGAGUGCCACCUGAAAAAAAAAUUUCCAGGUCCCCAAAGGGUGACCGUCUUCCGGAGGACAGCGGAUCGACUACCAUGUGGGUGCCCACAAAAAUUCCACCUCUGAGUCCUCAACUGCUGACCCCGGGGUCAGGAACUGUUGGAAACUACUGAAACUGGCCGACCUGAUCUUCAAAAUGUGCCCCUAGGAAAGGUGGAUGCCACCGUGUUCACAGACAGUAGCAGCUUCCUCGAGAAGGGACUACGAAAGGCCGGUGCAGCUGUUACCAUGGAGACAGAUGUGUUGUGGGCUCAGGCUUUACCAGCAAACACCUCAGCACAAAAGGCUGAAUUGAUCGCCCUCACUCAGGCUCUCCGAUGGGGUAAGGAUAUUAACGUUAACACUGACAGCAGGUACGCCUUUGCUACUGUGCAUGUACGUGGAGCCAUCUACCAGGAGCGUGGGCUACUCACCUCAGCAGGUGGCUGUAAUCCACUGUAAAGGACAUCAAAAGGAAAACACGGCUGUUGCCCGUGGUAACCAGAAAGCUGAUUCAGCAGCUCAAGAUGCAGUGUGACUUUCAGUCACGCCUCUAAACUUGCUGCCCACAGUCUCCUUUCCACAGCCAGAUCUGCCUGACAAUCCCGCAUACUCAACAGAAGAAGAAAACUGGCCUCAGAACUCAGAGCCAAUAAAAAUCAGGAAGGUUGGUGGAUUCUUCCUGACUCUAGAAUCUUCAUACCCCGAACUCUUGGGAAAACUUUAAUCAGUCACCUACAGUCUACCACCCAUUUAGGAGGAGCAAAGCUACCUCAGCUCCUCCGGAGCCGUUUUAAGAUCCCCCAUCUUCAAAGCCUAACAGAUCAAGCAGCUCUCCGGUGCACAACCUGCGCCCAGGUAAAUGCCAAAAAAGGUCCUAAACCCAGCCCAGGCCACCGUCUCCAAGAAAACUCACCAGGAGAAAAGUGGGAAAUUGACUUUACAGAAGUAAAACCACACCGGGCUGGGUACAAAUACCUUCUAGUACUGGUAGACACCUUCUCUGGAUGGACUGAAGCAUUUGCUACCAAAAACGAAACUGUCAAUAUGGUAGUUAAGUUUUUACUCAAUGAAAUCAUCCCUCGACAUGGGCUGCCUGUUGCCAUAGGGUCUGAUAAUGGACCGGCCUUCGCCUUGUCUAUAGUUUAGUCAGUCAGUAAGGCGUUAAACAUUCAAUGGAAGCUCCAUUGUGCCUAUCGACCCCAGAGCUCUGGGCAAGUAGAACGCAUGAACUGCACCCUAAAAAACACUCUUACAAAAUUAAUCUUAGAAACCGGUGUAAAUUGUUUCCAGAGAGAAGGACUCCCUCCUGCUUGGAAGAGACCUCACACCGUCAUCACGAUGCCAACGGCUCUGAAGGUGGAUGGCAUUCCUGCGUGGAUUCAUCACUCCCGCAUCAAAAAGGCCAACGGAGCCCAACUAGAAACAUGGGUCCCCAGGGCUGGGUCAGGCCCCUUAAAACUGCACCUAAGUUGGGUGAAGCCAUUAGAUUAAUUCUUUUUCUUAAUUUUGUAAAACAAUGCAUAGCUUCUGUCAAACUUAUGUAUCUUAAGACUCAAUAUAACCCCCUUGUUAUAACUGAGGAAUCAAUGAUUUGAUUCCCCAAAAACACAAGUGGGGAAUGUAGUGUCCAACCUGGUUUUUACUAACCCUGUUUUUAGACUCUCCCUUUCCUUUAAUCACUCAGCCUUGUUUCCACCUGAAUUGACUCUCCCUUAGCUAAGAGCGCCAGAUGGACUCCAUCUUGGCUCUUUCACUGGCAGCCGCUUCCUCAAGGACUUAACUUGUGCAAGCUGACUCCCAGCACAUCCAAGAAUGCAAUUAACUGAUAAGAUACUGUGGCAAGCUAUAUCCGCAGUUCCCAGGAAUUCGUCCAAUUGAUUACACCCAAAAGCCCCGCGUCUAUCACCUUGUAAUAAUCUUAAAGCCCCUGCACCUGGAACUAUUAACGUUCCUGUAACCAUUUAUCCUUUUAACUUUUUUGCCUACUUUAUUUCUGUAAAAUUGUUUUAACUAGACCCCCCCUCUCCUUUCUAAACCAAAGUAUAAAAGCAAAUCUAGCCCCUUCUUCAGGCCGAGAGAAUUUCGAGCGUUAGCCGUCUCUUGGCCACCAGCUAAAUAAACGG